CUCGGGGAGCUAGUGGAGCAGCAGUUCGGAGUCAGUGGUCGGGUAGCGGUCAAAGGGAUUAGCAGCAACAGUUCAGCAGUAUCAGGUGAGUUUCCCUUUGUAUGAAUGGGUCUACGGCCACAAUGCCGGCCCAUGUAGUUAUGAGUAGAAGACCCGGGGGUUAGCCCUAGGCACAGUAUGCUAGUAUGGUAUUCGGACGAGGUCCAAUGAUAGAGGGCGGGUGCCCAAGGAGUGGUUUAUGUGAUAGUUUAUACUUGUUGUCUGUGUGAUACAUGUACGUGCCUGGUAGGAAGGUGAGUGGGGGGCGAGGUCCCGUAUCUCACCAAUAGCAGAGUGUGGAUGGUGUUCCACAUCUCAGUAGCAGCAGUACAGGGGCGAGGCCCAAGCUAGGAAAAGAGUGAGGACGGGCGGGGCCCGUAUCUCACUAUCAGCAGGAGUAUGGACGAGGUUCCAUGACUCAUCAGUAGCAGGACACGGGCGGGGCCCGGAGAUAGGCGAGGCCUUGGAGCAAGAGUUGUUAGUAUAUGUUUAGCUUAUGUGUUGUUAUGUGAUAUAUGUAUGUGCUAGUAUAUGUUAGUGGGCGGGGCCCUGUGACAGGCAAGGCCUAAGUGAAACAGAUCUGUAUCCGAGCGGGGCUUGAAGCCAGGCGGGGCCUGGAGCCGCGGGGCCGUUGUAGCGGGCGAGGCCCGAAGUAGGGGGCGAGGCCUCAGAUAGCGGGCAUGGCCCAGUAUGUGCAGUAUGUGGUCAUGCAUGGUAUGUGGUAGGGUUGGGAACUCACUAAGUUUCGUGCUUANGUUUUCAGUUUUGUUUUCAGGUACUUCCGGUAGCGGAGGGAGGAGCUCGGGGUGAUCGCAUGGCACACACCAUAGAGUAGUCAGCCUGGGAAUGUUUACUCUGAUAAUAAACAUGUGUUUUGAAAACUUAUACUCAAAUUAUGUUUUGGAAUGAUGACUUUGUUUGAAGUAAUGUUUUAUUAAAAGAAAUUUUUGGUCUCGAAUUUUGGGUCGUUACAAGUUGGUAUCAGAGCCUUGGUUUGAGGGAUUCGAGCAUACUCUCGGGUGUGGCUGAACUCAAACUGAGGGGUUGGAUAAAAAGUUUUCAAAAGCGAAAAGACAGUUUUCUAAAAAGAAUUUUGAGAACAAAAAGCAGUUUUAGAAAAACAAAAAGAAUCCAGAAAAAGAAGAAUUUUGAAAAGAGAAAAAGGGGUGUGGUGCAUGCAAUCAACCGAGCUCAAGUAAGUACCCCAAAAUACCCAUACAAGUUUAUAUUAUGAUUAUCAGUUGGUAGAACAGCAUGCUAGAAUAGGACUAAGGAUCUAGGGAUGAUGCCUUAUGUGCCUGUUAUUUGUGCUUUUGAGCUGCAUAGUAGUGCUAAGUAGACAGUAGUAGGAUAGCCUGUUUAGGUUAUACCUGAGAUAUGAGUUUGUGUUUCAUGCUAGUUCAGAUUCUUGCUAUGUGGAUAUGAUUUCUUGAGUAUGUUAUGGUUAGAUUUUCCUUUGUUCGAAUGCUGCUUGCUUUGUGUAUUGUGGGAUUCUGAGUGAUGGGAGUUAGCCAUUAGGUGGAUACGACAAGUCACAUGCGAUCAGGGUUGAAUAAUCUCAGAGUGCUGGAUUUGGUCCUAUUACGCAGCUCUCGUCUGAGUCCAACCGUUGUAGCGACGAGUCUUUUACUUGAAGGAUUAUCUGAGCCUCGUUGCAUGUGAUGGUAUCCAGGUGAUGGCUAAUUGGCAUCAUAAGGAGACCUUCAGUAGGUUUGUGUUGAGUUAGAGGUUUCCCUAGGGUAAGCCUAGGAUGAGAUAGUGCUGGGAGCAGUAGUAGUGGUUAAGGGGUCUGGUGGAGUCAAAGCAAUUCCUGAGGAAAGUACGGAUAGAUAUGGAAGGUAGUAUGGGCCCGUACUACUGAAAGCAAAGGAUCCGUACUCGAUUCGGGAAGGGCCGAGACAAGACCAGGAACCUGGUAGGGUAUGUUUGGUCUCACAUCAGUGAUGAGUAUUCUAAUAGUGGUUGUGGUAUAUUUUCAGCAUGGUGACAUUGCGAGAGAGACCAGCGGGCGGGUCAGGCGCCGGAGAGGGAUCAGGCUCGGGUUUAGGGACCGAGCAGCUCGAGGAGCAGAUGAGAGAGUUGAUAUCAGCUGAGGUUACGCGCAGUAUUCUAGCUCAGACUCCUGUGAUCUUUGGCACGGUCAAGGAGGGUAUACUGGAGAUCUUGGAUGAGAGGCUGGGAGCCUUCCGUACUGAGAUGAUGGCAUUGAUGGGAGCGCGUACUCUGACAUUUCGAGAGUUCAGAGCCUGCGGGGCACCAGAUUAUCAUGGGGCUAGGGACCCCAUUGCUAGCAGCAGAUGGUUGGCUGAUGUUGCCAACGCUUUUCGUACGAGCAAGUGUCCCGAGGGGGACAAGGUUAGACUCGCCUCCUGUCUUCUGAAGGACAGAGCGAGGGAUUGGUGGGAGGAGAUUGGUCAUGCUUUGGGGGAUGAUGCCGCGUUGGACGCGAUGACUUGGAGCGAUUUCUCGGCCAGGUUCAGGGCGGAGUUUUCGCCGAUUAUUGAGGUGCAGCAGCUGGCACGAGAGUUUCAGGAUUUGACGCAGACUACUGAGACUGUGGCGGAGAUCACCGCCAAGUUCAGGGAGAGGGCUCUUCUUGUACCGCAGUAUGUAGCGGAUGAGGAGAUGAAGAAGGCUCGGUACCAUGAGAUGUUGAGGGACGACAUCAGGGAGUUCGUGAGCAGGUCCAGCUGUAAGACGCUGGAAGAUAUGAUUUCUCGGGCUAGGGAAAGGGAAAUUGAUUUGGAGCAGAUCCGGAAGAGGAAGCCGGAUGAGGUUCAGGUAUCAGCGGGUUCGNAUUGAUUUGGAGCAAAUCCGGAAGAGGAAGCCGGAUGAGGUUCAGGUAGCUGUGGGUUCGGGCAAAAGGCCCAAGGGAUCGGAUUCGAGAUCGAGGGAUCAUCAGGACCGCAAUCGGUGCGGAAAGUGUGGCAGGGCGCACGGGGGCGCGUGCAGGAGUGGUAGCCGUGGUGAGUCUGGUUGCUUCAAGUGCGGUCGGACUGGUCAUUUCAGCAGGGAUUGCACUGUUACUGCCGCGCAGGAAUCAGACUUGAUAUGUUUUCAUUGCAACCAGCGGGGCCACAAGAAGGCCCAGUGCCCCAGUUUGUCUUCGGCAGGACGGGUGAUGGCACCCGCCCUUGCAAAUUUGAGGAUCACAGAUGGCCGUCAGGGCCGGGUAGAGGCACAUGCAGCAGGGAGCAGGGCUUUUCAGAUGACGACCUUGGAGACGCUAGCGACGCCGGACGUUGCAGGGAUGCAAUUUCCAUUUCCAGUUCUUUUAUUUGUGCAUGAUUAUGUUGUUAUGAUUCUGCAUCAUCAUCGGUAUGAGUAUUUUAUUUAUGUGCGGUUGAUUAUGGUCGAGUUAUAUGCCAUCUGCAUACCUUGGAUAAUUGUAUGGUAGUUAGGGGAUGUGCUCUAUUGGAGAAGGUUACGUAGGAUGCAGUAGCUGUAGCAUGCUUGGGAGGGACUUAGUAUGUCUCGUUAGAUCAGGAUCGUGUAGUGUCAGAGAUGGAUUGGUUAGAUCCCUAGCUAUGGUAAGCUUGGGUUCCUCAGCAGAUUGAUUAUGGAAUGGUAGCAAGGAUUGGGUUUUCUCUUUGAGCAUUGAGCAACAAGGGGUAAGCAGGAUCGAAGUGGGGGAGAAUCCUCCGAGUAAGCCAGGGUAGGAGCACGCAGACCCAGAAGGAGUGCGCAACCUCCGAGGAGGAAAGGAAGUAGUUCAGCGUUCGAUGGAUUGAGGAUUUCAGGGUUGGGAGUUUGAGAAACUCCCCAUCAGCUAGAGCGUGUGUCGGUAAUGGUUAGUUCGUGGUUGGGAAUUCAGGUUGUUGAUCGCCCGUAUGACUCGAGGGAGUCAGAAUGAGGAUCUUGAGAGCUAAUGGCACAUGGGUGCCUUCGUAUUAGCAGUCAGUGGUGGAAGUGUUGUAAGACUACGGGGCAGCCGUAGCAUUCACUAGCAGUCAACAAUGGAUGGUGAUGUAAGGCUAUGGGUAAGUCGUAGCAUUCCCUAGUCGCUUCGUUAGCGGAGUUGGGGCGAGGCCCUUAUUUUCUCGUGAUCAGAUAGGGAUCGGGAUGGGUAGUCGUUGAGAAUGAUAGGGAGUUGCCUGUAUAGCCCUAGCAAGGUGAGACCUUGGGAGAGGCUGCUCCUGGAUAUAGUUGGGUGAGACCCGUGGGCGAGGCCCGUACGAGAUUAGCAGUGUAGAUAAGACCUGAGAGCAGGGUUGCUCAGUAGUAUGGUUGGGUGGUACCCGUGGGCGAGGCCCAUGGGUUUUUAGCAGCGCAGGUGGGACCUGGUAGGGACCUUAGUGUCAAGUUAGGGGAUCGGGGAUCCCAGGUUUGUAGUGCCUGAGUGGUGGAAUUGUUUGAGCAGUUAUAGGUAGUUGAGGUUUCUUUGGAAGUCGCUGAGAGCGACUUGUGUUGAUGUUGGGACCAGCUACCGGUGGGAGCCGGUAAUCCAGAUAUUGAUAGGUUGGUAGGGACCAGAGUGGUCUCAGUUCAACCGGAAGGCAGAUGAGGAAUGGCAGAAGUAUCCAGUCAGUAGUAGUGCGGGAAGGCGGGUUAUGUUGGAAUUCAGUUAGAUGAGUCGAGGGGUGCUCGACACCAAGUUAUGACAAGAGAGGAGUGUCAGUGGUUACUGGCGGUAAUGACCCGUACUGGAUUUAGCGGGAAUAAGGGAUUGGUGAAGAUAGGAUCUUCACAGUGGCUGAGGAGAUAGUUGUUUUUGGAGCAUCGCCUUGGGAAGGCAAGGGAAUGGCGUGAGGAAAGAAGGGGUGAACCCCUAUAGGUUCAGUGCAGUACUCGGUGAGUACCCGUCGGAUUAUCGGCUAAGUAAGUUGUGUUUCCAGAAUGUUCAGGGUCAGGGUUGACCCGAGAUGGUUAUUUGCAAGGGUUAAUGCUAGUCUGAAUGAUCAGGAGGAAGACCAUCGAAGGUAGGCAGCUGGUGUUGGAACAAUUCGUGGGGUAUUGGAGGCAGAUAGCAGGCGGUGAGAUGGUAAACUUCGAGGACGAAGUUUAGUUUAAGUGGGGGAGAGUUGUAACACCCAGGAUUUUGAAAGCCAAGAAAGUAAAGGAAACCCUAAAUUUAAGAGGGACUCGACGAGUCAAAGGAAGGACUCGGCGAGUCGGAGCGGGAUCCGGGUCGAUAAGAAAGUGACCAACUCGACGAGUCGGCCAAGUGGACUCGGCGAGUCUGGUCUGUGCGAGGAAAACCCUAAAUCCGGGGCUUGGAGCCUAUUUAAGCAUCUUAAUCUUCUUCCUAGGGCUCCUUUACAGCCUCUUGCACCCAGAACGCCGCACCUUAAGCCCCCAUUGUGUUCAUUCAAGCUUCUAGCCAUUUUUGAGUGGGUUUAAGGAAGAAGAAGGAGUGGGAAUCCUUGAAGCAUCAGGGAGUGGCUUUGGAUCUGAAGUUUGGGAAGCAUUUCAGAGCAUUGGAAGGUAUCAAUUCGUUUCUCUCCUCCAUAUUUUUCCUUGGUUAUGAGUUUUGGGGCUUUUAAGCCAUGUUUAAGACCAAUCUUGAGCUUGAGGUCCAGAUCUGAGGUUGCUACCUCAGAUCCAUGUUUAUUUUGGUUUGUAAUCCCAGAAAGUAUCAGCCAUUGGGUGGAAAUUGGAGUCUCUUGGUCCUAAACCCUAGCUAUGGGUGUAUUUUGCCUAGAUCUCCCUCUCUACACGUAAAGUUUGCAACUUUACGUGGGAAAUAGGCUUGGGGAGGGUAGAUCUACAGUUUGGAGCUCAUGCAUGACUCGGAAGUCCUCUGCAUGUAAGUGGAUCUUAGUGGACUCGACGAGUCCUUCGAGUGGACUCGGCGAGUAGCUUGAAGAUGAGGAGGAACUCGACGAGUGGGAUGAACAGCUCGUCGAGUCGGAUGAAGAUGGGCAUGAACUCGGCGAGUUGGAUGAACAACUCGUCGAGUUGGAUGAAGUUUGUCGUGUGCUCGGCGAGUCUGUUCUUAGACUCGGCGAGUCAGGUCGCGUAGUCCCAAACCCUUCGAGUUAAGACUCGAGUCAGCGAGUCGAGCAAGGACUCAGUGAGUUGGUCAGGACAGGAUUCAAGAAUCUGUAGACUCGACAAGUCAGGGGCUGACUCGGCGAGUCAAGUUGCGAUUGGAAGGACUUGAGCAUAAGAACUCGGCGAGUCAGUGAGUGGACUCGGCGAGUAGGGUUGACCUGGAAGGUUGACUUUGACCAGAGUUGACUUGGUUAACCUUUGGAGGUCAGUUAGACUAAGUGUUGGGUUGUUGUUGGUAGCUCGGGGAGCUAGCGGAGCAGCAGUUCGGAGUUAGCGGUCAGGUAGCGGUCAAAGGGGUUAGCAGCGGCAGUUCGGCAAUAUCAGGUGAGUUUCCCUUUGUAUGAAUGGGUCUACGGCCACAAUGCCGGCCCAUGUAGUUAUGAGUAGAAGACCCGGGGGUUAGCCCUAGGCACAGUAUGCUAGUAUGAUAUUUGGACGAGGUCCAAUGACAGAGGGCGGGUGCCCAAGGAGCGGUUUAUGUGAUAGUUUAUACUUGUUGUCUGUGUGAUACUUGUAUGUGCCUGGUAGGGAGGUGAG
rnacentral:lncRNA from 1 species